UACAGAGGUCUCAAGCGUUGUUCGGAUUCAUUGGGCGUAAAGGGUGCGUAGGCGGCGCGGUAAGUCGGGUGUGAAAUCUCGGGGCUUAACUCCGAAACUGCAUUCGAUACUGCCGUGCUUGAGGACGGGAGAGGAGACUGGAAUUUACGGUGUAGCGGUGAAAUGCGUAGAUAUCGUAAGGAAGACCAGUGGCGAAGGCGGGUCUCUGGACAGUUCCUGACGCUGAGGCACGAAGGCCAGGGGAGCAAACGGG
rnacentral:rRNA from 1 species